AAAAUAGGAGAAAUUGAUGGAAAAUCUUCCAAAAUUCAUAACUUGAGUUAGAGACCUCCAAAUCACUUCGUUCUAAAGCCAAACUUGUGAGAAAUUUUGAGAGGAAUCCAUUGGUACCAGUAUUUCUGGAUGGGCUUCACUGUAGAGAGAGAUCUUCUUCCUCUAAAAUUUGGAUUUCUUUGAAAGAGGGGAAUUUUAAAGGAGCUUGAAGCCAUGGGAGCUUGAAGCCAUGGGAGCUUGAAGUGCGCCUAAGAGUCUUGUUGAGGAUCCUACAUAAGAGGAGGCUUGGUAACUCGGUUGUUGGGUAGGCCAUCUAUACAACUUUGAGAGGAACACAUUUAAUUGAAGAGCUCUCACGGGACAAGGACACUACCCGUGGCUAGAGGUACUAGUAUGAGGAUAUGGAGUUCUGGGUGGCCGGACGCUACUAUUUAUUAUAGAUGUUAUUUAUGGAGAAUAUGUACUGUUGUAUAGUGUUCUAUUCAUUUUGGGAUCAUGAUGUUUGAUCCAUUAUACAAUAUAUGGUCCGUAUAUGUUUUGUACAUGUGUUCGUAUUUGAUGCAAGUACAUUUGUGUAUUCAGAUAUGUGCAUGUACUGAAAUAUGUAUGCUGUUAGACAUAGUGACACAGA